rnacentral:rRNA from 1 species
AUUGAACGCUGGCGGUAGGCCUAACACAUGCAAGUCGAACGAGUGGCGGACGGGUGAGUAAUGUCUGGGAAACUGCCUGAUGGAGGGGGAUAACUACUGGAAACGGUAGCUAAUACCGCAUACCAUCAGAUGUGCCCCGAUGGGAUUAGCUUGUUGGAGGGGUAACGGCUCACCAAGGCGACGAUCCCUAGCUGGUCUGAGAGGAUGACCAUCCAGACUGGAAUGGAACCGAGGUCCAGAAUCCUACGAGAGGAAGCAGUGGGGAAUAUUGCACAAUAGGCGCAAGCCUGAUGCAGCCAUGCCGCAUGUAUGAAGAAGGCCUUCGGGUUGUAAAGUACUUUCAGCGGGGAGGCGUUACCCGAAGAAAAAGCACCGGCUAACUCCGUGCCAGCAGCCGCGUUAAUAC